CAAGCCUGUGGUGAAUCUAACCAAACUUCCCCUCUAUAUUUUCUGAAGAGCUUGUUCUGCAAUAAUGGAGGCUGUGGAUCAGAUCAUUGAUAAUCUUCAGGAUAGCAGAUACCUCUUUGAUUCGGUAACAGUACACAUUGCUGUGGGACUGGAGUCACACAGAUCCAAGACCAGCAGAGGCAAGAUCGAGAGACACAUACUUGCCCAGCAUCUGCAUCUCGCUCUCAGCCCAAUGAAUUAAAUCCAGUGGAAGGGCAGAAGCCCAUUUGUCGAAAGCCCAUUCAGUUCCAGAAGUUGCCAGAAUGGGUUUGCUAAACUCAUCAUUAGCCAAGUAUAAGACACCACCUCAGUGCUUUAGAGUCUCCUGAGAGAGACAGACCCACUAGAACAUCGAUACCAUCUGAUCCAUAUUUGAGACUUAGUUGUUGGAAAUCAAAGGAGUAUCCAGCUACAAUUCAACAGGCACAUCCCAUUGCUGAA